CGGUGAUAGGGGUGGCAGACAGAGAACUGCUGGGUAAUUCUACUGUGAAACUCGAGGUGAUGAUUCAUCUUUCCUAUUCAAAGCGUGGACUAUGGGCCGGCAGCAUUAGUCGGUUAGAAAAGCGGUAUCUGGCCUCUCCGACUUGACAAAUCAGAAUCUGCAUUUUAAACACAAUCCAUCUGAGCUGUCUGCCUGCUGAAUUCUGAGAAGCACUGUGCCCAGCAAACAGAAUUUCCCCAAAUCCCUUCACCACAAAAUGGCAAGCCAUUCCGCAAGAGCCACUUUGGAAACUGGGCUGCUCCCUAUGAUGAGGAGAAAGACCUGCUUCUCCCACCACACACAGUGGCUGGGGGUUAUGCAAUGGCAGAUAUGACGACGCUUUGAAAAUCUAAAGCUUGAGCCUGGCGAAAGUGUUUCUUAUAAGGCAACAAGGGACAAAAGCUCUGCUUCUCGUGGGACAGACAGACCAGAGCGCCUGCAAUACAACAGCUGUCGCCUGGCGGGAGCUGAGCAGCCAAUUUUAAUGUUGAGCUUGGCAAAGAGAUGAGAAAGAUUCACGUCUCGGAGAUUUGGAGAGAUGAAAGUGGACAGGGGAUUGGCUCUGAAACCAUAAAAGCAAUACAUAAAAGAAGAGGCCAGAGGUGACCUUGUCCGUCCAACUCUACAACAGCAAACCCAAAAGCCUGAAAUGCUGUUAGGAAAACCCCAAGAGCCUUAUUCCUUAAGUACAUAGUGGAUUUAUAAAACUCCACAUGGAGUGAAAAUAACAAUCCUACUCGUUGCAGAACUAUUUGUAUACUGUGAAUAUAAUUUACAUAUUUAUAUAUUAUA